rnacentral:rRNA from 2 species
AUGAUACGUAGCCGACCUGAGAGGGUAAUCGGCCACAUUGGGACUGAGACACGGCCCAAACUCCUACGGGAGGCAGCAGUAGGGAAUCUUCCACAAUGGACGAAAGUCUGAUGGAGCAACGCCGCGUGAGUGAUGAAGGGUUUCGGCUCGUAAAACUCUGUUGUUGGAGAAGAACAGGUGUCAGAGUAACUGUUGACAUCUUGACGGUAUCCAACCAGAAAGCCACGGCUAACUACGUGCCAGCAGCCGCGGUAAUACGUAGGUGGCAAGCGUUGUCCGGAUUUAUUGGGCGUAAAGCGAGCGCAGGCGGUUUUUUAGGUCUGAUGUGAAAGCUUCGGCUUAACCGGAGAAGUGCAUCGGAAACCGGGAGACUUGAGUGCAGAAGAGGACAGUGAACUCCAUGUGUAGCGGUGAAAUGCGUAGAUAUAUGGAAGAACACCAGUGGCGAAGGCGGCUGUCUGGUCUGUAACUGACGCUGAGGCUCGAAAGCAUGGGUAGCGAACAG